UCUCCGUUGGUGAACCAGCGGAGGGAUCAUUACCGAGUUUACAACUCCCAAACCCAAUGUGAACGUUACCAAACUGUUGCCUCGGCGGGGUCACGCCCCGGGUGCGUCGCAGCCCCGGAACCAGGCGCCCGCCGGAGGAACCAACCAAACUCUUUCUGUAGUCCCCUCGCGGACGUUAUUUCUUACAGCUCUGAGCAAAAAAUUCAAAAUGAAUCAAAACUUUCAACAACGGAUCUCUUGGUUCUG
rnacentral:misc_RNA from 1 species